GACGGAGGGGGCUAGCGUUGUUCGGAAUCACUGGGCGUAAAGGGCGCGUAGGCGGCUUUGCAAGUCAGAUGUGAAAUCCCGGGGCUUAACCCCGGAGCUGCAUUUGAAACUGCAUGGCUAGAGUCUCGGAGAGGAUGGUGGAAUUCUGAGUGUAGAGGUGAAAUUCGUAGAUAUUCAGAGGAACACCGAUGGCGAAGGCAGCCAUCUGGACGAGUACUGACGCUGAGGCGCGAAAGCGUGGGGAGCAAACAGGAUUAGAUACCCUGGUAGUCCACGCUGUAAACGAUGUGUGCUAGAUGCUGGGACUUUCAGUUUCAGUGUCGUAGCUAACGCGUUAAGCACACCGCCUGGGAAGUACGGCCGCAAGGUUGAA
rnacentral:rRNA from 1 species